AUUGAACGCUGGCGGCUUGCCUUACACAUGCAAGUCGAACGGCAGCACGGGAGCAAUCCUGGUGGCGAGUGGCGAACGGGUGAGUAAAGUAUCGGAACGUGCCCAGUCGUGGGGGAUCACGUAGCGAAAGUUACGCUAAUACCGCAUACGAUCUAUGGAUGAAAGCGGGGGAUCGCAAGACCUCGCGCGCUUGGAGCGGCCGAUAUCAGAUUAGGUAGUGGGUGGGGUAAAGGCCCACCAAGCCGACGAUCUGUAGCUGGUCUGAGAGGACGACCAGCCACACUGGGACUGAGACGCGGCCCAGACUCCUACGGGAGGCAGCAGUGGGGAAUUUUGGACAAUGGGCGAAAGCCUGAUCCAGCCAUGCCGCGUGCAGGAUGAAGGCCUUCGGGUUGUAAACUGCUUUUGUACGGAACGAAAAGGACUGCCCUAAUACGGUGGUCCCAUGACGGUACCGUAAGAAUAAGCACCGGCUAACUACGUGCCAGCAGCCGCCGUAA
rnacentral:rRNA from 1 species